UUCAAUUGUGUGAAUGAUAGAAAGAUACUACAACAGUGCUUUGACUUGAUUGUUGGUCUUUUCCGUUUAAAAAAUAUGGACAGUCAGCAAUCAUGAAUUAAAAAUCUAUUAUGAAGUUGUGCCUCUAAUAACAUACUAGGCCUCCUUAGCUCUGGUCCAGGGGGUUAGUACCCGUUGCUCUAACACCAUGGACCAAAGCUUGGGCCUCCUGAGACAUAUUAUAUUCAGUACACCUUGCACCACCAGACCUGGGUUCAAAUACUAUUUGAAAGCGUUCAAAUAUUUUUUUGUGUUUGCUCUACCCUGCCCGGAGUGCCAGAUGGGCAGGUUUGCAGUUUUGGGACUAUUCUAAUGGUUCAUUAAGCCCACUAAGCUCAAUCAAGCACAGAUAAUGUAUAGAUUUCAAAUAGUGUUUGAACCCAAGUCUGACUGGAACCUUUUUACUAAAGGCAUGCUUUUUGCAACCUAUAUGGAGGUGAAAAGAUUUUCUUUGUGCUAUUUGUGAUCACAUCUGUGUGGAUCUCACCUACCUCAAUACAAAGAAAGGUGAAUACAGGAUCUGUGUUCAUUAAUUUGGCUGAAAGCAACCACUGUGUUUGAGUCUACUGCGGCCACCAACCCUGGACCCGAAGAGUUAGUCUACAGGGUGUGAAAACGUUUGUACCAGUUUAAGGCAAACACACCUGAUUCAAGUAAUCAAGAUGAGAUAUUUUGCAGCAACCACUGAUCUAUUUCCACCUUACCAUUGUCCUCCUUAACACCUGGACACACAAAGAGCUUGUGAGCUGUGUGGGCAGGACCACUGCAGACGAGUUGUACUCCUGCAGUGAGGACCACCAGAUCCAAAGAUAGAACCUGCUGACCAGUGAGAUCAGCCUGGUGGUGAAUGUGCAGGAGGACCUCUUCCCCAUUGACCUGCACUGGUUCCCCAAGACGGUGGGAGGCAAGAAGCAGGCCCAGGCCGAGAUCUUUGUGCUCACCAGUACUGACGGCAAGUCACAGAAGGGCCCAAUAAUGAUUUUCUCGUGUUAAGUGGUAUACUACGAAGCAAGUUGGAUCUACUCAGGCUUUUAUAAAGCUAGCCAUCUUCAGUUAGCUGCACAUUCCAGGUCAGGCUUCAGCCGUACUACGACGGUGGAUAUUGCUCAUCCGCCUGCCGCUGACUCAAACAGCUCUGCCACAAAAGGACUAGCUGAUAUCAUGGUGUGAGGUGUGAGUGUUGACGAGGACAAGGCUGGAGAUCACUCUGUCAUGCUGAUUGAGUUCGAAUAACA